CCUACGGGAGACAGCAGUAGGGAAUCUUUCACAAUGGGCGAAAGCCUGAUGGAGCAACGCCGCGUGCAGGAUGAAGGCCUUCGGGUUGUAAACUGCUUUUAUAAGCGAGAAAUAUGAUGGUAACUUAUGAAUAAGGAUCGGCUAACUACGUGCCAGCAGCCGCGGUCAUACGUAGGAUCCGAGCAUUAUCCGGAGUGACUGGGUGUAAAGAGUUGCGUAGGUGGCAUAAUAAGUAGCUAGUGAAAUCUGGUGGCUCAACCAUUCAGACUAUUAGCUAAACUGUUAAGCUCGAGACCGUUAGGGGUAACUGGAAUGUGUAGUGUAGGAGUGAAAUCCGUAGAUAUUAGAAGGAACACCAAUAGCGUAGGCAGGUUGCUGGGACGGUUCUGACACUAAGGCACGAAAGCGUAGGGAGCAAACGGGAUUAGAUACCCCUGUAGUC
rnacentral:rRNA from 1 species